UUUGACCUCAAAUCAGGUAGGACUACCCGCUGAACUUAAGCAUAUCAAAAGCCGGGAGGAAUA
rnacentral:rRNA from 1 species